UACGUAGGUGGCAAGCGUUAUCCGGAAUUAUUGGGCGUAAAGAGGGAGCAGGCGGCAGCAAAGGUCUGUGGUGAAAGACUGAAGCUUAACUUCAGUAAGCCAUAGAAACCGGGCAGCUAGAGUGCAGGAGGGGAUCGUGGAAUUCCAUGUGUAGCGGUGAAAUGCGUAGAUAUAUGGAGGAACACCAGUGGCGAAGGCGACGAUCUGGCCUGCAACUGACGCUCAGUCCCGAAAGCGUGGGGAGCAAAUAGG
rnacentral:rRNA from 1 species